ACUCUAAGGGGACGUGCCCGGAUAACGGGGAGGAAGGCGGGGAGUGACGUCAAGUCAGCAUGGCCUUUAUGUCCAGGGCUACACACGUGCUACAAUGGGCGGUACAGAGGGAAGCAAAGCCGCGAGGUGGAGCUAAUCCUUAAAGCCGUCCUCAGUUCGGAUCGCAGGCUGCAACUCGCCUGCGUGAAGUCGGAAUCGCUAGUAAUCGCGGAUCAGCAGGUCCGCGGUCGAAUACGUUCCCGGGCCUU
rnacentral:rRNA from 1 species